UUUCACUACAGUUCUGAUGAUUGCUGAUAAUAUAGUAUACUUAACUUCUCAUUUUGUUGAAUAUGACAUUGUGUAUAAAUAGCAAACAACGAGUCUGUGGGCAAUAAAGGGCAGCGAUUCACUGCUGGUUAAACUGUUGUGACAGAUGACCUUUGCAUCAUGGUUUCAACUUCUGAUGGGAAUUGACACUUUUCUGCAUUACUUCCAUGCACUUUGAAAAAUUCUGAGUGUUGUUUUUUUUCCCUCCCGUUUAGCAAAUAUUUAAGUGUUCAUGGGAAACUGCUGAUUAAUGACACUGAGCACCAUUUUAUAGAUUUAUCCACUCACCAUUUGUCAAACGAGGGGAGAACAGUUUGAGAUUUUAUUGUUAUACGUUUCAAUGAGAGUUGAGCACGACGCCACUAUGACGCGCAAUGCGGGGCCGCGCAUCUCACCGCGAGAGCGCGCCGGAAGAGUGAGAAGUACCGCACGCGCUCGUGAGUUUAGAUUUCAGAGACAGAAUGAACAAUACCGGCGAGAAUGAGGCAAACAGCCCGGAACAAGAGGUCAGGACUCUUUUUGUCAGUGGUUUACCGCUGGACAUCAAACCCAGAGAACUUUACCUGCUAUUCAGGCCAUUUCAGGGCUACGGAGGUUCCUUAAUCAAAUUUACCUCUAAACAGCCGGUGGGGUUUGUAAGUUUUGACAGUCGCUCAGAGGCGGAGGCCGCUAAGAACGCCCUGAACGGUGUUCACUUUGACCCGGAUAUUCCCCAGACUUUACGGCUGGAGUUUGCCAAAGCCAAUACCAAGAUGGCCAAGAACAAACUAGUAGGAAUUCCAAACCCUUCUCCAUCCAGACAAAGUCCUGGACCUCCCUGUGUCAGUCGAGAGCCCUAUGAGUUCACAGUUCCAGCUCUGUAUCCCAGCAGUCCUGACAUGUGGGCGUCAUACCCGCUGUACCCCACUGAACUGCCACCACCUGCGUAUGCCUACAGCUCAUCACUGCACGCUCAGAUUCGCUGGCUGCCGACCACAGACGCAACCAGUCAGAGCUGGAAGAGCCGACAGUUCUGUUGACGUUUAUAUAUUCUGCAGGUGUGGCGGCGACACAGGCGAUGCCCUGAUCUUGUUCUGUCUUUCUCUGUUCAUCUGUAUCUCUGUGUCUUCUGCCAGAUACAGAUACUUCAGUUUGAAACAAGAAGCUGCUGCAAACCACAGGACCACAGGACUUCUCUUCUUUUCUCUCCUCUUCUCUUCGUACACUUUGUGAAGUAUUUAUAAUGUUGUUAUUAUUGGUUCAGUAAUUACUGUAAGACCUGAUGGGGAUGAUGCAUGAUGCCUUGCAAAAAAAAAAAAAAUGUUGAUAUUUACGCAUUUUUAGAUAUUGCAUUACUAAUUAUUAUUAUUAUUAUUAUUAUUAUUAUUAUUAUUAUUAUUGUUAUUGAGCAAAAUAAGUAUUUUUUAUAAUGAAUGAAAUGAAAUGUUUUCAGUGUCAUUUUAGUGUAAUUGCUAUGUUGUUUCUACUGUAUGUACAAGAAUGUUUUUAAUGGCCAUGGAUGUUUUAUUGAGCUUUCAUGAGCCUAUUUGAAUCAUUAAAAACACUUUAUGUGAGAAGCGUUUGAAGACAGUCUGAAAGACUCAUUUAAUGUUUAAAUAUAGUUAGUGAAACUUUGUCCCACUUGGAUGUUCUAAUAAUAGAAAAUGCUUUGUAUUAGACCAUCAAAA